GUGGGGAAUAUUGGACAAUGGGCGCAAGCCUGAUCCAGCCAUGCCGCGUGAGUGAUGAAGGCCUUAGGGUUGUAAAGCUCUUUCGUCAGGGAAGAUAAUGACGGUACCUGAAGAAGAAGCCCCGGCUAACUUCGUGCCAGCAGCCGCGGUAAUACGAAGGGGGCUAGCGUUGCUCGGAAUCACUGGGCGUAAAGCGCACGUAGGCGGUUUUCUAAGUCAGGGGUGAAAUCCUGGAGCUCAACUACAGAACUGCCUUUGAUACUGGAGAGCUUGAGUUCGGGAGAGGUGAGUGGAACUGCGAGUGUAGAGGUGAAAUUCGUAGAUAUUCGCAAGAACACCAGUGGCGAAGGCGGCUCACUGGCCCGAUACUGACGCUGAGGCGCGAAAGCGUGGGGAGCAAACAGGAUUAGAUACCCGUGUAGUCC
rnacentral:rRNA from 1 species